rnacentral:rRNA from 1 species
ACGAGGGGGGCUAGUGUUGUUCGGAAUCACUGGGCGUAAAGGGAGCGUAGGCGGGCUCUUAAGUUAGGUGUUUAAUCCCGGGGCCCAACCCCGGACAGGCACCUAAAACUGGGAGUCUUGAAUAGUGGAGAGGUCAGUGGAAUUGGGGGUGUAGCGGUGGAAUGCGUAGAGAUCCCCAAGAACACCAGUUGCGAAGGCGGCUGACUGGACACAUAUUGACGCUGAGGCUCGAAAGCAUGGGGAGCAAACAGGA